UAUGACAAUCAGCUCACAUGCAACUAAUCAGUUUGACCAACUAAUAAGUUUGUGUUUUGUCACAAAUCGUUCGAUUGCGCGAUUACAUCCUAUGUAUCAUGUGACACGAGAGUACAGUUACAUUUGUGAGUGCGGUAUGAUGAAACUGUUGCGCAACUAGUCGCAUCAUGGAUUUCGUCGAGAUAGCUGCAGUAUGUGUUCUCGAAUUAAAAAGAAGGAAGGCAAUAAAAAAGAAGAAAUAUUGGGUACAUCCUAUAACUUUUCAGCGAUUAUUGAAAGGACAGUUUUAUAAACUUCACAAUGAAUUACAGUCUUACCCGGUUAAAGUUUUUAAUUUUUAUCGUAUGAGUGUUAAAAGUUUUAAUGAUCUUCUAAAUUUGGUACAUUAAAUUAAGACACGCAAAUGCCUCUUGUUAUUACCUGUAUAUUCAAAAUUGUUAGAUGAGUUGGUGCUAUGAAAAACUUGCAACGGCCAGCAAUUCCUAAAGACAUACAUUGUUUGUGUAUUAGCUAGAUACAAUUUCAUCGUACAGUAUGCCAGACAAUUUCCUGAAAUCCAAAUACUGGUUAUUAUUGAAAAUCAAUUUUUUGUAGAAUUUGGACAUUGACAAAGAAACUUACAAAUCAGAGAUAUGCAAUCAAGAGCAGAAAGAGAUAAAACCUAUUAAUGUUCAGCAGCUCAAUAGAAAUCAUGGCAUUUUGGCAUUCUUGAGGAGAACUGGUCAUCACAAUGAUGAUUAUGUCAAAUUGAACCAUGUCCUUGAAUAUUUUUUUUUUUAGUAAAACAUUAUAUUAAUAGAACACUACCGAUUAAAUUGUAGCAUAAAUAUUGACAGAAAAUAGAGCUUU